rnacentral:rRNA from 1 species
GACGAACGCUGGCGGCAUGCCUAAUACAUGCAAGUCGAGCGAACAGAUGAGAAGCUUGCUUCUCUGAUGUUAGCGGCGGACGGGUGAGUAACACGUGGGUAACCUACCUAUAAGACUGGGAUAACUCCGGGAAACCGGGGCUAAUACCGGAUAAUAUUUUGAACCGCAUGGUUCGAUAGUGAAAGACGGUUUCGGCUGUCACUUAUAGAUGGACCCGCGCCGUAUUAGCUAGUUGGUAAGGUAGCGGCUUACCAAGGCGACGAUACGUAGCCGACCUGGGAGGGUGAUCGGCCACACUGGAACUGAGACACGGUCCAGACUCCUACGGGAGGCAGCAGUAGGGAAUCUUCCGCAAUGGGCGAAAGCCUGACGGAGCAACGCCGCGUGAGUGAUGAAGGUCUUCGGAUCGUAAAACUCUGUUGUUAGGGAAGAACAAAUUUGUUAGUAACUGAACAAGUCUUGACGGUACCUAACCAGAAAGCCACGGCUAACUACGUGCCAGCCGCCGCCGUAA